UGAGGAAUAUUGGUCAAUGGCGAGAGCCUGAACCAGACCAAGUCGCGUGAGGGAAGACAGUCCUAUGGAUUGUAAACCUCUUUUGCCGGGGAGCAAAGAGCGGCACGUGUGCCGCGCCGAGAGUACCCGGAGAAAAAGCAUCGGCUAACUCCGUGCCAGCAG
rnacentral:rRNA from 1 species